UACGAAGGGUGCAAGCGUUAAUCGGAAUUACUGGGCGUAAAGCGUGCGUAGGCGGUUAUUUAUGUCUGUUGUGAAAUCCCCGGGCUCAACCUGGGAAUGGCAAUGGAUACUGGAUAGCUAGAGUGUGAUAGAGGAUGGUGGAAUUCCCGGUGUAGCGGUGAAAUGCGUAGAGAUCGGGAGGAACAUCAGUGGCGAAGGCGGCCAUCUGGAUCAACACUGACGCUGAGGCACGAAAGCGUGGGGAGCAAACAGG
rnacentral:rRNA from 1 species